rnacentral:rRNA from 1 species
GACGAACGCUGGCGGCGUGCCUAAUACAUGCAAGUAGAACGCAGUUGCGAACGGGUGAGUACCGCGUAGGUAACUUCCUCAUAGCGGGGGAUAACUAUUGGAAACGAUAGCUAAUACCGCCUACUGUGAGAUGGGCCUGCGUUUUAUUAGCUAGUUGGUGAGGUAAAGGCUCACCAAGGGGACGAUACAUAGCCGACCGGAGAGGGGGAUCGGCCCAACUAGGAAUGGGACACGGGCCAGACUCCUACGGGAGGCAGCAGUAGGGAAUCUUCGGCCAAGGAAGGAAGGCUUACCGAGCAACGCCGCGUGAGUGAAGAAGGGUUUCGGAUCGGAAAGCUCUGUUGUUAGAGAAGCGGUAUCUAACCAGAAAGGGACGGCUAACUACGUGCCAGCAGCCGCGGUAAUUC